CCUUUUUCGCCUGUUUAUCAAAAACAUCGCCCUCUGAAAAAAUAAUAUAGAGGGUCCUGCCUGCCCAGUGACCUAAAAGUUUAACGGCCGCGGUAUUUUGACCGUGCGAAGGUAGCAUAAUCAUUUGUCUCCUAAAUAGAGACUGGCAUGAAUGGCAAGACGGAACCAUACUGUCUCCUUUUCUCCCCUUUAAAUUUCACCUCCCCGUGAAGAGGCGGGGAAACAAUCGUUAGACGAGAAGACCCUGUCGAGCUACAACAAAGUUUAUGAUUUUAUAUAAAAUUUCUGUAUUCCUAAUUAUUUUAUUUAGAUUAACAACAAAUUUGUAAAGUCUAUUCUAGUUUUGGUUGGGGCAACCACGGAGAAAAGAAAUCCUCCGUUAUUAAUGUUUUAAACUUAAAUAAAGAAUAACACCUCUAAAAUUAUAUAAUAAGAGUAUGACCCACUUUAAGUGAUCAAAGGAAAAGUUACCGCAGGGAUAACAGCGUAAUCUUUUCUAAGAGUCCAUAUUGACGAAAAGGUUUGCGACCUCGAUGUUGGAUCGGGACAUCCUAAAGGUGCAGAAGCUUUUAAGGGUUGGUCUGUUCGACCAUUAAAGUCCUACGUGAUCUGAGUUCAGACCAGA
rnacentral:rRNA from 1 species